rnacentral:rRNA from 1 species
GAUGAACGCUGGCGGCGUGCCUAAUACAUGCGAGUCGAGCGAACGGACGAGAAGCUUGCUUUUCUGAUGUUAGCGGCGGACGGGUGAGUAACACGUGGAUAACCUACCUAUAAGACUGGGAUAACUUCGGGAAACCGGAGCUAAUACCGGAUAAUAUUUUGAACCGCAUGGUUCAAAAGUGAAAGACGGUCUUGCUGUCACUUAUAGAUGGAUCCGCGCUGCAUUAGCUAGUUGGUAAGGUAACGGCUUACCAAGGCAACGAUGCAUAGCCGACCUGAGAGGGUGAUCGGCCACACUGGAACUGAGACACGGUCCAGACUCCUACGGGAGGCAGCAGUAGGGAAUCUUCCGCAAUGGGCGAAAGCCUGACGGAGCAACGCCGCGUGAGUGAUGAAGGUCUUCGGAUCGUAAAACUCUGUUAUUAGGGAAGAACAUAUGUGUAAGUAACUGUGCACAUCUUGACGGUACCUAAUCAGAAAGCCACGGCUAACUACGU